rnacentral:rRNA from 1 species
UACGUAGGUGGCAAGCGUUGUCCGGAUUUACUGGGCGUAAAGCGCGUGCAGGCGGUUCGUUAAGUUCAGGGUGAAAGCUCCCGGCUCAACUGGGAGAGGUCCUUGGAUACUGGCGGACUUGAGGGGGGUAGAGGAGAGUGGAAUUCCCGGUGUAGUGGUGAUAUGCGUAGAUAUCGGGAGGAACACCAGUGGCGAAGGCGGCUCUCUGGGCCCUACCUGACGCUGAGACGCGAAAGCGUGGGGAGCGAACCGG